CAUUAAGAAGCUAUGGAACAGCACUAGCCUUUUAAGCUAGAGAGAGAGGAGAAACCACUCCUCCUUAAUGG
rnacentral:tRNA from 1 species